rnacentral:lncRNA from 1 species
GCUCCGUCUCUCUGUGCCUAGACAUCAAAGGUAGAAACUGGAGAACAGGUAGUAAGUUGGAGUCGCUGCCCAGGCAGGAUCUUCAUCACUUUGUUGCUUCUGGAAACUUUUUAUAGAACUUACCUUCAGAAUGAUUUGUGGGAGACAAGAGCAGAGUCAACCUGUUUCAACACUGGACAAAAACACACUUCAGAACACACACAUGUCUUCCCUGGCUUGGGGGCUCAGAGAAGUGAGAGAUUUCAUGGCUUUUUGCACCACUUCAGUGGCAUGUGAAAUGAGAUAUUGAGCCUUAAAAGGUCCUUUGGGCCCUAAAAUCUCCUCUCCGAACACCUUCUCACUGAUUUGUUGAGCCAUUUUCACCCAGUUACAACAACCUAGCUGAUUCUAGAAGACUCCCAGCAUUCCUAGUUGCACCACACAUCAUAUGUCCAUAUACUAUGUGAGCAGAUUUGGGCAUGUGGCUGGCUGCAUUGAUUGACAGACAGCUUAACCACGGAUGGGUCUUACAAGUCAUGUUUACUCAGCCUGCCGUCCGUGUUCUCAGCAAUGUACCAGGCACUUCUGAGUGCUUGCUUAGAUCCCCCACAUUGGCUCUGCAGGAUUAGCUAGAGAGAUUCUGCCCAUUUUUCUGAGGGAAGCAAAGCUCUUAAGGAUGCACGACUUAGCUGAGGUCACAGAGCUCAGAAGUGGGGAUGGCAGGGAUACACACCUUCCUUGCCUGGCUUUUGGCUUUUGGCUUGUGUUGGAGCCCUGCCCCCACAGCUGCAGCCUCCAUUUGACAGCUGCCUGGCUCUAAGUGCCCUUAAAUGAUACCUGUAGCUCUCUGGGGGACUGCACUGCACAGGGAAACAUAGACACCACAGAUUGGCCGUCUUAAUGUCCAGUAAGUUGCAAAAGCUUGGGCUUACAUCAAAGACGUUUGCUUAUUCAAAGUUAUGCAAUCUAGUACUUUUCUCUAUAAGUAUAUAUUUGAAGGACAUACCUCCUCCUUGAUUGCCAAAGGGCCAAAAGGGCCCACUACUUAGUCAACACAGUCAACCCAAGAGACUGACUAGAAAUUAUGAACUCAACCUUUACCCUAAAGGAAAGGCACUAGAACAUCUUUUUUUCUUAAAAUUUUUUUUAAUUUUUUUAAACACAGUCUCACUGUGUAGCCCUGGCUGUCCUGGAACUCACUCUGUAGAGCAGGCUGGCCUCAAACUCAGAGAUGCACCUGCCUCUGCCUCCAAGUGCUGGGGUUAAAGGAGUGUGUCACUAUGCCCAUUGAAUUUCUUUACCAUUAAGUCCUGUCAAGUAGGAAGGCUUAUUAGACACUUUGAGGAUUACAAAAUGGUAAUAUGCUUUGAUGGUAGAGUGCUACCAUUUUUCAUAACCAAAAUGGGUGAGUAAGGGUAGCUUUAAAAAUAGAAAUACAAACAACACCCUGGUGGAUGGAGUAGUGUUACAUUACCAAGUGCAGAUAACCGAUGCCUACCCGACAGGAUUGCUAAGUCACGGAAAUUCAAGUGGCAAAGCAUCCUCAGUUCUCGUGGGUAAAAAGAAGAAGAAGAAAGCAGCAGGAGGGGGCAGCCUAGUGGGGGCCAGUCUGCCUCUGGGGGACUGCAGUUGAAGAAGAGUGGUAGAAACUAUUUGCACUUUCUAGAAAGGCAAGGCCAUUUGCUUAUUGCAGAAAGAACAGCUUGCUGAAUUCAGCUUGCUCUGUGAGUUACUUUCCAUAAACUUAAUCUGACUGUAGUCAUUUUUUUCUUUCAUGCUUUUUAAUUACUAAGAGAAAUUUGGCGACUUCAAUAGCUUUGGUAUUUUGUGUGCAAAUCAUAAUAGAUCCAGUGUGAAAAAAUCAAAAUGUCACCUGUCACUCAGUGUUAGAAAAUUGCCUAAAAUGCAGUUUAAUAAAUGAUCUUUGUACCAAAUUGUAAUGUAAAUGGGGUCAUUUUCUGCCAGGAAAAUGUACUGUUUUUAUGUUUCCAACUCUCCUGAAUUAAAAUAAAAACACCUUGUUUUCU